GGCUCAAGUGAUCCUCUCGCCUUGGCCUCCCAAAGUGUCUGGAUCACAGGCAUGAGUUGCCACACCCGGUCUCCUCAUAUGACAGAGCAAGACAGAGGGAGACUCCAUCUUAAAAAAAAAAAUAAAAAAAGUGGAGAAGGAGAGAAGGGGUCAGGGAGGCAGCCAGGAGGGAAGAGUGAAGUAAGAAGCAGAUGAAGAGAAGCAGGGUGGGCACACACCCAGAGCCCCCCUGUGUCACCCGCCUGCUACCAGACCCAGGAGGGUCCCGUCGGGGUGGGGGUCCUGGGACUUAACUCCUCCUCCAGCCUCAGCCCUCCCGGUGCCAAGAUUCUUCAACGUCCUCGGGAUGCACCUCCGCACUGUGGGGCCAUCUGGGUCAGCCCGGACGCACCGGCCUCUGUCUGGGUCCCAGUCUUCUCACCGCCAGGCGGGCAGGUGAGGCCUCGGUCAUUCCAGGUGCAGCCUCGGAUCAGGGAUGACGGCCCAGGCUGAAGUAUCAUGAUGAAGAGCUUGGACCGAGGGCAGUUAAGGUGUUCUUAUAUGAAGAGGAGAUCAGGACACACACACACACAGAGGCACGACCCUGUGAGGACCCAGGAGGAAGACAGCGUCUGCAAACCAAGGAGACAGGCCUCAGUAGGAACCAGCCCUGCCCACGCCUUGGUCUCGGACUUCAGCCUCCAGGACUGUGAGGGAUGAAUGCCCAUGGCCGGCGUCGCUUGGUGUGUGGCGUUUGUUCCGGCAACCCUGGGAGGCUGGUGCGAUGUCUCUUUGGUCUUACUCUCUCCAUCGAGACCCUCUCGAAGGCCUGUCUGGGUUGAGGAGGGGGCGUGGAAGAUCCUGCCUCCUGGUGGGGAAGGUGUUGGGAGAGUGGUGGUACAGGGGGCGUUGUGGCAGUGGUUUGUGGGCCCCGCCUGCCACACAGCCCCCAUAGAGACUGAGAGUCCCCCAGCAGGUCUGAGGAGAGGGUGA
rnacentral:lncRNA from 1 species